UACGUAGGGUGCGAGCGUUAAUCGGAAUUACUGGGCGUAAAGGGUGCGCAGGCGGUUUUGUAAGUCAGAUGUGAAAUCCCCGGGCUUAACCUGGGAACUGCGUUUGAAACUACAAGACUAGAGUGUGGCAGAGGGGGGUGGAAUUCCAUGUGUAGCAGUGAAAUGCGUAGAGAUAUGGAAGAACAUCGAUGGCGAAGGCCAACCCCGUGGUUAACACUGACGCUCAGGCACGAAAGCGUGA
rnacentral:rRNA from 1 species